CAAGGUUGAGGCUAAAGCAGAAACAUUCAGUGUGGUAUGUCAGAUUCUGAAGAAUCUGUGAAUUCUGCU
rnacentral:lncRNA from 1 species